UCAUUGUAUAACAACUGCUUA
ensembl:piRNA 21ur-2382 ncRNA